CUGGACGACAGAGCUAUACUUCAUCUCAAAAACAAAAAAAAGGAUCCUCAGGGCUGCCAACUUUAUAGUAGAAGUCGAGGUGGUAGUGGAUUUCUCCUACACAA